CAGUCGCCGCGGGAACACGGAGGGCGCGAGCGUUACCCGGAUUUACUGGGCGUAAAGGGCGUGUAGGCGGCCUGGGGCGUCCCAUGUGAAAGGCCACGGCUCAACCGUGGAGGAGCGUGGGAUACGCUCAGGCUAGAGGGUGGGAGAGGGUGGUGGAAUUCCCGGAGUAGCGGUGAAAUGCGCAGAUACCGGGAGGAACGCCGAUGGCGAAGGCAGCCACCUGGUCCACUUCUGACGCUGAGGCGCGAAAGCGUGGGGAGCAAACCGGAUUAGAUACCCCGGUAGUCCCUGUCUCUUAUAC
rnacentral:rRNA from 1 species